rnacentral:rRNA from 1 species
GAUGAACGCUGACAGAAUGCUUAACACAUGCAAGUCUACUUGAAUUUGGGUUUUUUAACUUAGAUUUGGGUGGCGGACGGGUGAGUAACGCGUAAAGAACUUGCCUCACAGUUAGGGACAACAUUUGGAAACGAAUGCUAAAACCUGAUAUUAUGAAUAUAUGGCAUCAUAUAAUUAUGAAAGCUAUAAGCGCUGUGAGAGAGCUUUGCGUCCCAUUAGCUAGUUGGAGAGGUAACGGCUCACCAAGGCGAUGAUGGGUAGCCGGCCUGAGAGGGUGAACGGCCACAAGGGGACUGAGACACGGCCCUUACUCCUACGGGAGGCAGCAGUGGGGAAUAUUGGACAAUGGACCAAGAGUCUGAUCCAGCAAUUCUGUGUGCACGAUGACGUUUUUCGGAAUGUAAAGUGCUUUCAGUUGGGAAGAAAAAAAUGACGGUACCAACAGAAGAAGUGACGGCUAAAUACGUG